GUGCCAGCCGCCGCGGUAAUACCGGCAGCCCAAGUGAUGGCCGCUGUUAUUGGGCCUAAAGCGUCCGUAGCUGGCCGCACAAGUCCGUCGGGAAAUCCGCCCGCUCAACGCGUGGGCGUCCGGUGGAAACUGCACGGCUUGGGGCCGAGAGACUCGACGGGUACGUCCGGGGUAGGAGUGAAAUCCUAUAAUCCUGGACGGACCACCAAUGGGGAAACCACGUCGAGAGACCGGACCCGACAGUGAGGGACGAAAGCCAGGGUCUCGAACCGGAUUAGAUACCCGUGUAGUCC
rnacentral:rRNA from 1 species